GAGUUUGAUCGUGGCUCAGGACGAACGCUGGCGGCGCGCCUAACACAUGCAAGUCGAACGGAGCUUGUUUGUUUGAUUCUUUCGGGAUGACGACUUAUAAGCUUAGUGGCGAACGGGUGAGUAACACGUGAGUAACCUGCCCCAGAGUGGGGGACAACAGUUGGAAACGACUGCUAAUACCGCAUAAGCCCACGGAACCGCAUGGUUCUGGGGGAAAAGGAGCAAUUCGCUUUGGGAUGGACUCGCGUCCGAUUAGCUAGAUGGUGAGGUAACGGCCCACCAUGGCGACGAUCGGUAGCCGGACUGAGAGGUUGAUCGGCCACAUUGGGACUGAGACACGGCCCAGACUCCUACGGGAGGCAGCAGUGGGGAAUAUUGCACAAUGGGGGAAACCCUGAUGCAGCGACGCCGCGUGGAGGAAGAAGGCC
rnacentral:rRNA from 1 species